UAGAAAACACACAAAAAAAGGACCGAAUUAAAAUGUGCCCAACAGGAGGAGGAUCAAAAGAGAAAUUUUCGCAAACCACCCAAAACGCUGUGCAACACAUGGAUUAAAUUGAAACAGUAAUAAAACAUAUAGCAAAAUUUAAGAGAAAUAAAAAAAGUAAUUUAAAGGCAUUGUAAAACAGGAGGACCAAUCGUGGAAAUAAGCCAUUUUGAACCCUAUAAAACCCCAUUUUAAAACCCUAAAAUCACUUCCCUUUUCAACAACAGCAGCCACAAGGACUGUUUUCUUCCCCUCUCUGCUCCUCACCGAAAUCUCCUUCCCUACUCAACUCCGAUUCAGACGACGCGCAGCAAGGGUAUUGACGGCGCACCACCGCUGGUGCAUACUGGAAGAGAACGUGCGCGGCGUGCGACGUGCGGAUGGGCGAGAGACGUGUGGACGAGCUGCGCGAUCUGCGGCGCUGAGGAAGGAAAAAAAACUGCUGCUAGGGUUCUAAUUUUCUGCUCCUGUUCAAUAUUUUGGGCUAGUGGGUUGGGUUUUGGUGUAUUGGGUCAUUGGGCUUUAGGAUUUUGGGCCCUGGGCAAUAAUUGGGUAUUACAACCCAUAUGAUAAAUAUAUUUAAAAAAUUUAUAUUAAUAAAUUUAACAGUUGAAUCA